AUGCUAAAUUUAUUUGAUGACUAUAAUAAUUGGUCUAUUGUAUUUAAUUAAGUAAUUAUUUAAUUUUGGUUUCCACAAACAAAAUUGUAAAUUUAACACACAUAUUUAGCUACCAGACAUUAAUUAUCAUGCAUAUCCAAAUACAAACAUUAAUUGUUCCAGACAUUCAAAUCCUAGAUAUUUGUCCUAGUGCAUUUACUAAUCCAUUUUGUACUUUUUAGAGUGCUUGUUUGUAGUGCACUUUUUGUUUGUUUCCUUCUUGUCACUUGUAACAUCUUUCAUUAUCUUAAUGAAGUGGAUUGUUUCUUGUUCAAAAAAAAAAAAUCUAUACCCAUGAAACAAUGUCUACGAUCCAAACGGGCUCUAAAGGUCUUAGCAAGACAUUAAUCUUGUGGAGGCAGUAAUAUGAACUGACUCAAAAUGGUCCAUCCAAGAACUACGCUUGUCUUACAAAUUUGAUUUCUCUAUAACCACAAUUCUUAAAGUAACAAUUUGACUUCAUCCAUAAUAAUUGUGACCUCGAAGGUAAUGAUACUCCCUUACGAGCUGAAGAAGUCUUUAGCAAAUGAGAACUCCCAUUGCAAAUUGAAGACUUGGAUGAUCUUAUACUAGCAAGCUAUUUAGAAGAAACAACCAAUAAAUAAGUGAUUAGAUUCCCUAUCUGUAUAAGAAAGACGGCAAAGAGAAAACAUGAUAUAGGCAUCUUCUGAAGCACUUCCCAAGUAUACUGACUACUAUUAAGUAAAAUUCAUGAAAGAAUAUUGAUUCUUCUAGGACUCUCUUGUUUCCAACUAAAAGAAAACAGGUCUUUAGGCAUAAUCCUUUUGGGGUGAGAGGAACACUAGAAUCUUUCGAGGGAAGAAGAUUAAUCCUUUUGAUGUUUGGCCCUUGCUUGAUUCCAUGUUUCUUUGUGCGCUUCAAAGUUUUUUUUUUUGUAAUUAUUCUCUUUGUUUUAUUUUUCUUUAUUGGAGGUCUUUCUUUUAGGUAGGCUCCUUUUUUUCGGGCUGACAGGGUUACGGGAGAUUUGAACAGAACUACAAAACCAUAACAAACUGUUAGGCUUCCUCCUCCGAUUAUAUAUCAAUACAAGAGGAGGGGUAAAAAGGUAACGACAAGGGAAGCAAGUAAUUAGUUACGUGGGAGUGAGGAAGUGAAAUGAUAAUGUUGGUGUGGGGAUCAUCGAUAGUGAUUCUGAAGGGUAUUAGUAGGGUUGUUAUUUCCUUUCGUAGUUUCCAUAUUAUUAUUUUUUUUAGUUUGAGUUCUUCUCGAGAGUGGGAGGAAGAGGGCCAUAUUGCCUUAGAGCAAACUAUUAUCAUAUCAAUACAUCUUGAGGAACCCUACAUAAACCCUCUCCAUGUGAAUACAAGGACUCCUCCAUCUGGAACGAGGAAGGCACUCAUGCUUUUGAGAAGCUGAAGCAAGCGAUGAUGUCCUUAUCCGUGCUAACUCUACUGGAUUUUAACCUGCCAUUCAUAAUUGUAAUGGGUGCUUUUGAAACAAGGUUGGGAGCUUUGCCAUCUCAAAAUCAUCGCCCCAUUGCUUACUUCAGCUAUACUCUUUCGGCAAGAGCGAGGUUCAAAUCAAUUUAUGAUCGUGAAUUAAUGAUGGUUGUGGUAUUGGCUAUUAAAAAAUGAUUAUAUUUAUUUGUUGGGAUUGAAGUUUACUGUGAUAGCUAAUUAGAGAGCUAUAUAAUUCUUGUUGGAACAAGGAGAAAUCGAACCUCAGUAUCAUUGGCAAGCCCAUAAAUCCUUGUGAUCCAAAAACAUAAACUCUUCGACAAAAUGAAGAAAAUAGAUAAAGAAUAGACACCUUGGGUGACGUUUGAUGUAUUGAAAGAGGCAUCAUUUAUUAGAAUUAGAAGAUUCCCUAGCCCACCAUGGGCAUCCCAUGCAACCCAAUUGGAGCUCUAAAUUGUCUUGAUGAAAAAUUGAUCAAGACUUUGAACUUUAAUUUCUCAAAGGAUUACAAUGGCAACAAAUUUUGAUGAAGAUAAAAUCUUCCUCAAGUAUUUGGCUAUCUGUGUUAUAAUAUAUAUUUAAAUUCAUAUGUAUAGUCGUCCUUUAUCGUAAUUUUGUAUAUCCUAUACUAGGUCUUCUCAUUCACCUAUAUGUGUAUAUAUAUAUAUAUCUUUUGUCUAAUUAAAUGAUAAGAAUUUCAUUCUCUGAAAAUACAGAAUACAUGGUAUUAGAGCAUUCUUUGUUUAGGGUUUUAGAAUAUUCUUUGGCGGCUUUGUGAGUUAAGAGUUUGAGAUUGGGUCAUCAACUUUGAGUAGCUGUUUGUCGACACCACUCACCUCAGGAAGAGCACUACCACCGUCCGCCUCAGUCUGCGUUUGCUGUUCAUCGAAUACAGCCACACGUGAGGUACACGCACAGCCAGAUCAAGUCUGUUCCAUCGCCACGUGCCAACGUGUGGGAGUGCCUGAGGCCAUUUUCUUCGCUUCUAUCGGUUGGGUUUGUCUCAAGUUGCCUUUUCUGGUCAAUCUGUGCCUUUGGUUCUACCAACAUCUACUUGAGUGUGAGGCUGUUUAGAAAAUACCCUUUUGUUCCUAUGGUUUGUGACUGUUUUGUUCUAAUUUGGGGCUGUUUUGCUCUUUGGUUUACCUUUCUUUCGAUUCUCAUUUGUUUAAUUCUACUUGUGGGAUCGUGUGUUAGUUCUUAAUGGAUGAAAUGAAGCAUAUGAUUGUAUCCAAUGUAAUUCCCUUAGCAUCAAAGAUAACAAAACAUAAGUUAAAUGGAGCUAAUUACCAUGAUUGGCAUUGCACGAUUUAAUUUUAUUUACUUAGUACUUAUAUGGAUGAUCAUGUGACUAAGAAUCCAUCCCAAGAUGAUAAGAAAAAGGGUUGAAUUCGUGAUGAUGCUCGAAUUUAUCUUCAGAUUAAGAAUUUCAUUCAGAGUGAGACUAUUGCUUUGGUAGAUCAUCGUAAUUCUGUUAAGGAACUCUUAGAGUUCUUAGAAUUUUUGUACUCGGGAAAAGAACACAUCCAUCGAAUGUUUAAAGUUUGUAUGCAAUUGAUAUCUGAGCCAUGCCCCGUUGGUAAAAAUCUUCAGUUGUCAAACAAGAUGUAGUCAUGUUUAGAGUAUCCGUUCAUGGUUAAGCCUUUAGACGAGCAGUGUGCUCAAGUGUAAUUCGAAUGGAUGACUAGUCUGUGGUUGAGUUAGCACGGAGAUCAAAUGAUUGUUUGAAGGAAGGAUCGGUGGUCCUUUAUUCGAGGGGAGGACUGUUGGGUGGGAAUGCGAUUAAAGUCCCAAAUUGGUUAAAUAAGGGAAUGAUCUUGGGUUUAUAAGGGAGGAAAACUAUCUUCAAUGGUAUGAGGCCUUUUGGGGUGGUUCCAAAAGCAAAGCCAUCAUGGUUUAUACCCAAAGUGGACAAUAUCAUAUCAUUGUGGAGAUAUGUGGAGGUCUAUUGUCCCCAACAAAUUGGUAUCAGAGCCAUGCAUCGUUAGUAAAAGUCCUCCGUUGUCGAACAAGAUGUAGUCAUGUUCAGAGUAUCCGUUCGUGGUUGCCCCGAUUGCCCUUUAAAAAGGAAAGAGGCUAUUGGAUGUAAAUGGGUGUUUGCUAUAAAAGUCAAUCCUGACGGAAUAGUGGCUCAGUUGAAAGCUCGUCUUGUUGCCAAAGGAGGAAGUUUACAUGGAGCAACCACCUGGGUUUGUUGCGCAGGGGGAGAGUGAUAAAGUGUGUCGUCUUCGAAAAUCUUUGUAUGGACUAAAACAAAGUCUUCGUGCAUGGUUUGGUAAGUUUAGUCAAGCACUUGAAUGUUUUGAUAUGAAGAAAAGUGCUUCUGAACAUUCUGUAUCCUAUCAACAAUCUUACAAUGGUAUUACUUUGCUUAUUGUGUAUGUUGACGAUAUCGUUAUCACUAGAAAUGAUAUAUCAGGUAUAUCUUCUCUCAAGACUUUCCCUCAAGGUCAAUUUCAUACUAAAGAUUUGGGACAAUUGAAGUAUUUCCUGGGUAUUGAAGUACUAAGAAGUCUGUCACAACGGAAAUAUGUACUUGAUUUAUUGUCCGAGACUGGAAAACUAGGAGCCAAACCAUGUAGUACUCCGAUGAUACCAAAUUUGCAACUUGCUAAAGAAGGAGAAUUAUUUAAAGACCAUGAGAGAUAUAGAAGAUUAGUUGGAAAGUUGGACUAUUUAACAGUGACACGACCAGAUAUUGCUUAUUCUGUGAGUAUUGUGAGUCAAUUUAUGUCUUCUCCUUCAGUGGAUCAUUGGCCUACAGUAGAACAAAUUCUAUAUUAUCUAAAAGCUGCACCUGGACAUGGGAUCUUUUAUAUAAAGAUCAUGAUCAUACAAGGAUUGAAUGUUUUCAAAUGCUGAAUGGGCUAAAUCUCGAGAGGAUAGGAAAUCAACCUCUAGAUAUUAUGUUUUUGUAGGAGGAAACUAUGGAAAAGUAAGAAACAAAAUGUAGUUUCUCGUUCGAGUGCUAAGUCAGAAUAUAGACUAUGACACAAUCUGUGUGAAAUAGUGUGAAUACAUCAACUAUUAUCUGAGAUGGGUUUCAGUAUUACCAUGCCAGCUAAAUUAUGAUGUGAUAAUCAAGUUGCACUUCACAUUGCAUCCGAUCCAGUGUUCUGUGGACGAACUAAACAUAUUGAAGCGAAUUGUCACUUUGUUCACGAUAAAAUACAAGAAGGGUUAAUAUCUCUAUAGGAUAUGUGAAGACUGGAGAACAGUUGGGAAAUAUCUUGACCAAAGCUAUAAAUGGAGCAAGAAUAAGCUAUCUAUUCAACAAGUGGGCAUGAUUGACAUAUUUGCUUUAGCUUGAAGGGGAGUGUUAUAAUAUAUAUUUAAAUUAAUAUGUACAGCCGUCUUUUAUCGUAAUUUUGUAUAUCCUAGAUUAGGGUUUCUCAUUUACCUAUAUAUAUGUAUCUUUUGUCUAAUUAAAUGAUAAGAAAUUCAUUAUCCAAAAGUAUAGAGUUUGCACUCACCAAUAUUAUCACUUCUCAAAAUUAGAAGGGAAGCAUCAAACUGUGUUCAAAUUUCAGCUUGAAAAUUGUAAAAGUGAACACAAUUUAGAACAAUUUUUUUUAUAAAAUAUAACCAAGACUUGCGAGAGCUUAAGCUUAAGGGAUGACAUCAAAGAGAUCUUUAAUUGCAAACGAGGUAACUUUGGCUACCAAGAUUGAGAAUCAAAAUGAGUUUUUAAUAUUUUGAUUGAAAUAUCAUAUAAAUAUAUAUAGAACAUGAUCAUUUGAGUGGGGCACGCUCCCCUGCCUCCAACGUGGAUCCCUUUGUACAAGGGUAACCUUAUGUAAGAGAGUAAAACAACAUUACUAAGAUCUUUGCAAUAAUAUAACCAUACUAAUAUAAGCACAAUAACAAAAACAAACAAACUAGCGAAGUUGUAACAAACCCAAUAGACACAACAAAAAGCUAUGUUUGCUGCAUCCCUUCUAUUGUUCGAUUUUCUUUGAGGUUCAUGUGGGAAAACACUAUUUUUUCUACGCAAUAUUCGAAAAUCAAGAUGGGUUAUUCAUUCAAAACUCUUUUUGUGCACUCUGUUUGACU